GCAGCCCGUUGUAACGAGGGAAAGCACUUUGAUUGUUAAAAACGUGAAACGAAAUCAUUAUGAUAUCAAUGUAUUGUCAUCAUCCAACCAAGUUUCGGUUUGGGCUUCAUCAUUGAUUUCUUUUGUAGUAGUAUUUGCCAUAUCGUUUUUACCGGGUUAGAUUAUUUCUCAAGUGCUUGUUUUGGAUUUUUUGAUGUGAUGUACCAUAUCAACUGUUAUGUUAUUGUCUUUGAUAGAUAAUAUUGAAAUAAAACACUAUUUAGACGGAAAAAAUGUUUCGGGUCAUUUUUAGAAUCUUUAUAGGUACUUUUUAUAUGUUUAAGUAUGUUCUAGACAACUUUGAAGAUUCUAGAACAUAUUGA
rnacentral:lncRNA from 1 species